UUGAACUAACCGACGAAUUAUGCAUAUAUGGGCUUAUAAUGGGCCUUAACUAGACUACUUGACUAUUUCUUAAAUAUGGGCCGAGAAACUGCAUUCGAAUCCCCAUAGAGACACGAAUCGAUUCCCGUUUCUACGCGGUAACAAAACCCUUUUCCCUUUUCCCUCCUCGUUGCUUUCCGAUCCACCCAAGUUUGUUCGAUCGAAACCCUCUUUCGAGUUCCCUCGAUCGCAGUUCUGCGGACGUCCUUGGAUCCAAGAAGGAGCGGGUGAAACCGGGUACGAUCGCCACCGCGGAUCCACUGGUCAUGCCGCGCAAGGGGGGGCGGGGGAUGUCGGUUCUCUCGCAGGCAGAUGUCUCGGGUUUCUCCCCCCACCAUGCGGCUCCCCGUCGCCAAUGGGUCGAUCCGGACACCUGGACGAGAAGGGUAUUUUUUACGUAUCAAUGGUCAUUCGAUUCCACAUCGACAGAAGCCCACUGGGGUCCCAAGGCUUGAAGCACCUUGUCAAUAGCAAGAGAGGCACUGCACCGAAGUCACUGUUUCUACUUGCGCCCGAAACUAACUAACAGGAUUGUUUCUUUCAACUUAUUGUUCCGUUGCUUGUUCAAUACAAUAAGAAUACUUGUUUGCCCAUGUUAGCACAACGGUAAACUCAUAACUUAUUGCCUGGUCUACUUAACCUAACAGGGUAAAGUGCAGAAAAGGGACAAAUAUGUAUUAUGAAAAUUUUAAAAGUAUUUUUGCUACAA